UGCAAGUCGAACGGUAACAGGGAGCAGCUUGCUGCUCUGCUGACGAGUGGCGGACGGGUGAGUAAUGUCUGGGGAUCUGCCCGAUGGAGGGGGAUAACCACUGGAAACGGUGGCUAAUACCGCAUAACGUCGCAAGACCAAAGUGGGGGACCUUCGGGCCUCACACCAUCGGAUGAACCCAGAUGGGAUUAGCUAGUAGGUGGGGUAACGGCUCACCUAGGCGACGAUCCCUAGCUGGUCUGAGAGGAUGACCAGCCACACUGGAACUGAGACACGGUCCAGACUCCUACGGGAGGCAGCAGUGGGGAAUAUUGCACAAUGGGCGCAAGCCUGAUGCAGCCAUGCCGCGUGUAUGAAGAAGGCCUUCGGGUUGUAAAGUACUUUCAGCGGGGAGGAAGGGAAUGAGGUUAAUAACCUGGUUCAUUGACGUUACCCGCAGAAGAAGCACCGGCUAACUCCGUGCCAGCAGCCGCGGUAAUACGGAGGGUGCAAGCGUUAAUCGGAAUUACUGGGCGUAAAGCGCACGCAGGCGGUCUGUCAAGUCGGAUGUGAAAUCCCCGGGCUCAACCCGGGAACUGCAUUCGAAACUGGCAGGCUAGAGUCUUGUAGAGGGGGGUAGAAUUCCAGGUGUAGCGGUGAAAUGCGUAGAGAUCUGGAGGAA
rnacentral:rRNA from 1 species